rnacentral:rRNA from 1 species
CAGUAGCCACGGUAAUACGUAGGUGGCAAGCGUUGUCCGGAAUUAUUGGGCGUAAAGCGCGCGCAGGCGGAUAGGUCAGUCUGUCUUAAAAGUUCGGGGCUUAACCCCGUGAUGAGAUGGAAACUGCCAAUCUAGAGUAUCGGAGAGGAAAGUGGAAUUCCUAGUGUAGCGGUGAAAUGCGUAGAUAUUAGGAAGAACACCAGUGGCGAAGGCGACUUUCUGGACGAAAACUGACGCUGAGGCGUGAAAGCCAGGGGAGCGAACGGGAUUAGAUACCCGCGUAGUCCCUGUCUCUUAUACA